AGUGAACGCUGGCGGUAGGCCUAACACAUGCAAGUCGAACGGCAGCACAGUAAGAGCUUGCUCUUACGGGUGGCGAGUGGCGGACGGGUGAGGAGUACAUCGGAAUCUACUUUUUCGUGGGGGAUAACGUAGGGAAACUUACGCUAAUACAGCAUACGACCUACGGGUGAAAGCAGGGGAUCUUCGGACCUUGCGCGAUUGAAUGAGCCGAUGUCGGAUUAGCUAGUUGGCGGGGUAAAGGCCCACCAAGGCGACGAUGCGUAGCUGGUCUGAGAGGGUGAUCAGCCACACUGAAACUGAGACACGGUCCAGACUCCUACGGGAGGGAGCAGUGGGGAAUAGUGGACAUUGGGCGCAAGCCGGAUCCAGCCACAGCGCGUGGGUGAAGAAGGUCUUCGGGUUGUAAAGCCCUUUUGUUGGGGAAGAAAAGCAGCAGGUUAAGUUCCCGCUGUUCUGACGGUACCCAAAGAAUAAGCACCGGCUAACUUCGUG
rnacentral:rRNA from 1 species